UAAUGAGUUAAAAAUGCACUUCCUAACUGCUUCAGGGAGUAUAUUUUUAAUACAUUUUCCCCUACUUCCUGGCCAGGAGGAGCCCCCUAGGAAUCAGAUUGGCUUGAGUAGCAGCUGUUUCAGCCAGUAAGACCAAAAGAGGAAGUUGUUGGUGGGGAGAAAGGUCUGGAGGAAUCUCUCUGCCUAGAGGAUUCCCUGGCUACUGGAGAACCUCGUUAUUGCAGCUCCACAUAUCCGUGGGGUAUAUAAGCACAUGGAAGACCCGUGGAGCAUGCCACACAGGAAGGAAAGACCUUGAAUAGCACAACAUGUUUGGAAAUUGAUCCUUGGUCUUUAGUCAUUUGAGAGCUGAAAAUCUGAAAGAGAAUGUGUGAAAAAGAACCUUUAUCAAUAGUACUUGCUACUACACAAAUGGAAACUGAUUUACGAUCUUGAACAUGAUUUUUGCUGGUGAUGUGGGAAUGAAGAUUUGCUAUAUAUUCCGUAAAACUACAAAAAUAUAUAUUUUAAAAUGCAAAAGAGUUUUAUGUUAUAUUAAAUUGAUUAAAGAUUAACAGAGUUCUGAUGAUCCUAUAUGCACUUUAUAAAAUUAACUAUAGAGAGCAUAAUGUGGAAGUGGUGAUAAAUAUAUUCAUAGCUAAAAUAUCUGUACUCAGUUAAUGGAAAAAUCUGGUUUUUUUCCUUUAUCAAAAAUGCUUUAUUAGGUGGAAGUACUGCUACUAUGUAAAAAUCAGCAUAUUAUAUACAUACAUGAGAAUGGCUGUUAACACAACAUAUGCUUGUAAUAGGGAUGAACAUUUUUUUCCUGAAUGAAACAUUUCAAGAUGAUAUAGGAUCAUUUGCACUCUUCAUUUAAUGUGUGCUUUAUUUUUAUUUCUAUAUUUUGUGUAUAUAUUUCUGAAUUUUUGAAUUUUUGUGAUUGUCGAAUAAUAAAAUAAAAAUA